CGCACAAUAAUCGGUUGUUAAUAUUACAAAUACCGACCAUUUCCAAGGUGGAUGGUAAUUACCGACGGCUUUAGUAUUUUACCGACCGUUUUUAUUGGCAUUAGGUAUUUAGAGACUGAAUCAACGACUGCUCUUGUUUCUGUUGGUAAUUACCUACCGCCUUUAAAUAUUUCCAACCGCUUAACGGUCGGUAAAUCCCAACUAGUAACUCCAGCCUUUUUAACUCCCACGUUUCCCUUUUCCUCUCUUUUCUAACUUCUAUGCGGUAAAACCUAGGUUUCGAAAAACCGACGACACCAUUGAAGUUGCCCGUUUGUUUUCGCCUCUCCACUGCCUCCUUCGCCGGUUACUUCUCCACUGCCGCCAUCUCCGGUUUCGUCUUCAUCUUCUCCGUCGCCAAUUGCUUCGUCAUCAUCACGCCGUUGCCGGUUUCAGAAUUUCACCGUCGACGCAUGUCGCCACCACACCAAUAUCGCGAAUUUUACCGUCGUCGUCGCCACUGCUCCGUCGUCGCGCCCACCACAACAGAUGUCUUCUUCUAGCAGGAGAGGGAGAGCUUCAGGAGGCCAGUCUACGCCACAUUCGUCGAAUGAUCCUGAGGGCGAGACUCCUUUAUUCUUUUAUUAGUAUAUUAUGUAUUUUGAGAAAAAUAAUGUUUAAUUUUGGUUGUUGGAAUUACUAUUAGAUCUAUAUUUUGGAGAAUAUGAUGUUUAAUAUAUGUUGUAACAAACCUAUUAUUUAUAUAAAAUGGAGGGUUAGUUUCUA